ACUGUUUACCAAAAACACAGGAGCGUGCGAAGGCGCAAGCCGCUGUAUACGCUCUGACGCCUGCCCGGUGCCGGAAGGUUAAGAGGAUCCGUCAGGCUUCGGCCGAAGCGGUGAAUUCAAGCCCCGGUAAACGGCGGUGGUAACUAUAACCAUCCUAAGGUAGCGAAAUUCCUUGUCGGGUAAGUUCCGACCUGCACGAAUGGCGUAACGACUUCCCCACUGUCUCGACCAGGAGCUCGGCGAAAUUGCAGUACGAGUAAAGAUGCUCGUUAAGCGCAGAAGGACGAAAAGACCCCGGGACCUUUACUAUACCUUGGUAUUGGCAUUCGGUGUGGAUUGUGUAGCAUAGGCGGAAGGCUUCGAAGCCACGGCGCCAGCCGCGGUGGAGCCGCAAGGUGAAAUACCGCUCUGUUCGCAUUGGAUGUCUAACCUCGACCAGUCAUCCUGGUCAGGGACAGUGCCUGGCGGGUAGUUUAACUGGGGCGGUUGCCUCCCAAAGAGUAACGGAGGCGCUCAAAGGUUCCCUCAGCCCGGUUGGCAAUCGGGUGGCGAGUGUAAGUGCACAAGGGAGCUUGACUGCGAGACUGACGGGUCGAGCAGGGACGAAAGUCGGAACUAGUGAUCCGGUGCCGGUGUACGGACGCGGCAUCGCUCAACGGAUAAAAGGUACCCCGGGGAUAACAGGCUGAUCAUUCCCAAGAGUCCAUAUCGACGGGAUGGUUUGGCACCUCGAUGUCGGCUCGUCGCAUCCUGGGGCUGGAGCAGGUCCCAAGGGUUCGGCUGUUCGCCGAUUAAAGCGGCACGCGAGCUGGGUUCAGAACGUCGUGAGACAGUUUGGUCUCUAUCCUCUGCGCUCGUCGGAAUGUUGAGGAGGCCUGCCCAUAGUACGAGAGGACCUGGGUGGACGAACCUCUGGUAUGCCGGUUGUCACGCCAGUGGCACGGCCGGUUGGCUACGUUCGGAAGGGAUAACCGCUGAAAGCAUCUAAGCGGGAAGCCUGCUCCAAGAUAAGCAUUCCAUAGGACUACGGGUCCUUGAAGUCCCCAUGCAGAACACGUGGUUGAUAGGCCGGACGUGGAAGCCCCGCGAGGGGUGGAGCCGACCGGUACUAACGGACGAAAGGCAACACAAC
rnacentral:rRNA from 1 species